rnacentral:rRNA from 1 species
CAGAGGGUGCAAGCGUUGUUCGGAAUUAUUGGGCGUAAAGCGCGUGUAGGCGGCUUUGCAAGUCUGGUGUGAAAUCCCUCGGCUUAACCGAGGAAGUGCGCCAGAAACUGCAGAGCUUGAGUACCGGAGAGGAUGGUGGAAUUCCCCAAGUAGAGGUGAAAUUCGUAGAUAUGGGGAGGAACACCGGUGGCGAAGGCGACCAUCUGGACGGAUACUGACGCUGAGACGCGAAAGCGUGGGGAGCAAACAGGAUUAGAUACCCUGUAGUCCACGCCGUAAACGAUGAGAACUAGGUGUCGUGGGUGUUGACCCCCGCGGUGCCGUAGCUAACGCAUUAAGUUCUCCGCCUGGGAAGUACGGCCGCAAGGCUA